GGGAAUGACCUGGCAGUUCGAUUCCAUUCCUGUAAUUCUUCAACGUAGGAAAGGCAUCUUGAUAGUUUUAUCGAGUUACGAAUGAACGCCCUAUAAAGCAGAUGUAAUCAGAUUCAUUAAGAACUGCAAAAGUACGCAAAACACAUUACCAAGCUACCAUCCCUCGACC
rnacentral:lncRNA from 1 species